rnacentral:rRNA from 1 species
CCUACGGGAGGCAGCAGUGGGGAAUAUUGGGCAAUGGGCGCAAGCCUGACCCAGCAACGCCGCGUGAAGGAAGAAGGCUUUCGGGUUGUAAACUUCUUUUCUCAGGGACGAAGAAAGUGACGGUACCUGAGGAAUAAGCCACGGCUAACUACGUGCCAGCACCCACGGUAAUACGUAGGUGGCAAGCGUUAUCCGGAUUUAUUGGGUGUAAAGGGCGUGUAGGCGGGAGCGCAAGUCAGAUGUGAAACCUCAGGGCUCAACCCUGAGCCUGCAUUUGAAACUGUGUUUCUUGAGUGCUGGGGAGGCAAUCGGAAUUCCGUGUGUAGCGGUGUAAUGCGUAGAUAUACGGAGGAACACCAGUGGCGAAGGCGGAUUGCUGGACAGUAACUGACGCUGAGGCGCGAAAGCGUGGGGAGCAAACAGGAUUAGAUACCCUUGUAGUC